GGGGUUGUAGCUCAGGGGUAGAGCAUCUGCUUCACAUGCAGAAGGUCCCAGGUUCACUCCCUGGCCCCAUCUCCA